AACUAAUUAAAGCUAGAAGCAGGAGGUUGGAGGAGCAAAAGGCGUCGCUGCUUUGCUGCAUUUUUGUCUAUUCCAUUUGGAUCCGGGCAUUUGUUUCCUAAGAAAAGGUGGCUCGGAUCAGAUGCCGGUGGGGGAAGAAAAAGGGAACAAAAUUUGACUGUGAUCCUGCUGGAAUCCAAAGGAGGGACUUGUACGUGGAAGUAAAUGUUGGUCGCCAUGGCUGCAGCCUGUGCAGUUACACUUACACGUGCCGUUGUUUUGGUAGCUGCAAGCUGGAGGCCACUACACAUCUACAGACUAGAGCAACUACUACCUCUGAUACAAAACCACAAAUGGUCCAUGGCAUUGCAUGCAUGGCAGGCAGCAGGUGAGUCCACGUACGCACCGACAAAUCCUUGAUGCCAAACAUAUACUCUCGCUCGGCUUAGAAAUAACUGACGUGGAUUAUUAUAAGAAUUUAUAUGAAUUCACUUAUAUGAAUUCACGUAGUUAAUUCGGGAUGGGGAGUACACGAUAUCUCAUACAUAAAUUGGUAUGGACGGGAAAAACAUAUUUUUUUUUGAA